ACUUCUCAACCCCACCAACUUGAUUGUUGGCAGUUUGGGUUUGGAUCAUGACCUUUGUCUGUUGAGAUAUACAAGACUGGGUUGAAAUGUAACAAGCUACAUCAAAAUACUUUGCGGCUUGAGCUAUCGUUAUAGAACUUUCAAAUUCGAUAGUAACGCAAAGGUUGUUGAACAAGCUUCCCAAAACCAAAACAAACACUGUCGAAAGUUCAUCACAGUGCA
rnacentral:misc_RNA from 1 species